rnacentral:rRNA from 1 species
UAAGGAAUAUUGGGCAAUGGAGGCAACUCUGACCCAGACAAGCCGCGUGCAGGAAGACGGCCCUACGGGUUGUAAACUGAUUUUAAUAGGGAGUAAUGUUAGUUACGAGUAACUAAUUGCAAGUACCUAUAGAAUACGGAUCGGCUAACUCCGUGCCAGCAGCCGCGGUAAUACGGAGGAUAAAAGCGUUAUCCGGAUGUAUUGGGCUUAAAGGGUGCGCAGGCGGACUAAUAAGUCAGUGGUGAAAUCUACAUGCUUAACAUGUAAUGUUCCAUUGAUACUGUUAGACUAGUAUGCAAAUGACGUAGCUGGAAUGUGUUAUGUAGCGGUGAAAUGCUUAGAUAUAACACAGAACACCGAUCGUGAAGACAGGUUACGAAUUUGUUAUAGACGCUCAUGCACGAAAGCGUGGGGAUCAAACA